rnacentral:rRNA from 1 species
ACUCACGCUGGCGGCGGGCUUCACCCCUUCCAGUCACACCGAAAGGCCUUUUCGGAGGUACUCGAGUGGCGAACGGGUGAGUAACACGUGAGUGAUCUGCCCUGCACUCUGGGAUAAGCCUGGGAAACUGGGUCUAAUACCGGAUAGGACCGCACUUUAGUGUGUGUGGUGGAAAGUUUUUUCGGUGUAGGAUGAGCCCGCGGCCUAUCGGCUUGUUGGUGGGGUAAUGGCUUACCAAGGCGGCGGCGGGUAGCCGGACUGAUAGGUUGGUCGGCCACAUUGGGACUGAGGUAAGGCCCAGACUCCGACGGGAGGGAGCAGUGGGGAAGAUUGCACAAGGGGCGCAAGCCUGAUGCAGAGACGCCGCGUGGGGGAUGACGGCCUUAGGGUUGUAAACUCCUUUCGCCAGGGACGAAGCGUUUUGUGACGGUACCUGGAGAAGAAGCACCGGCUAACUACGUG